CUGUAAAAGCAGUCGGAUACUUCCUAGUUCUUGUUGUAUAACCUCUCUCUACCCCUUGUAGUUUUCUGUCUCUUAUCAAACUUGAUAAGUAUGGGUACAGCAACCUUCAUCGACAUAAUCAUCGCCAUCCUCUUGCCACCUCUUGGUGUCUUCCUCAAGUAUGAGUGUCGUGCGGAAUUUUGGAUCUGUUUGGUGCUGACACUGUUUGGUUACCUCCCUGGUAUUAUAUAUGCCAUCUAUAUCCUCACCAAGUGAUCCUUUCAAUUUAUGUGAUGAAGGAUGUGUUCGAAGGGCAGCUAUGUCUCUUUGUUUAGGUAUCAAGGGUUUGUUUUCAACCGUUUGAUGGAUUGUACUUAUCUGGUGUAGCCAAAUGGAUGGUUGACACUUCAUUUAUGUACAAAAUACAACGAGGAGCACUGGCAGCACUGGGUUAUUGGGGUGGUGCGUAUACAUUGCCCUCGGUGUAUCUCCGCUACUAUUACAUGUGACAUCUUUCAAACAAUUAACUUAAUGAAUAAAUUAUAAACUAUAGUGGAGUAAAAAUUACGUGA